UUGAUGGGUCCUAUUAAGGUUUGCCUAGUUUUUAUGAUUAUUCCUUGCCAACCUGGGUUUACAUUUCUGUUGGGUAGCUAUGCUUAGCUGCUAUACUUGGGUUAUGGUGGUUCUAAUGAACAAAGAUGAUGAACCUAUUUUAUUUAUGCUACACCUUCCUUUAAUACAAGAUCACUGUGAUUAAUUGGAACAUGGAGAACCACCCAGGAAAACAGUGCUACCACAAGACUAAAUGGCUCUGGUCUUGGCUGAAUAAUUAGAAACUCUAGUUUGGGGUAACCUUACCGAAAGGGCAAGAGGGGAGGCGUU
rnacentral:lncRNA from 1 species